CACCGCCCUGUUGCUCCUACCGAUUGAAUGGUCUGGUGAAGUGUUCGGAUCGCAGUGAUGUGGGUGGUCCGCUGCCCGCGACAUCAUGAGAAGUCCAUUGAACCUUAUCAUUUAGAGGAAGGAGAAGUAGUAACAAGGUUUUCGUAGGUGAACCUGCAGAAG
rnacentral:ncRNA from 1 species